ensembl:lncRNA novel transcript, antisense to CHRM2
UCCCGGUCAGGAAGCUUUAUGUUCUGGAUCAUCCAGGAGAGGGACAGAGGUGGUCGGUUGGUGCGACUCAUAAACAACCUCUUCAGCACAACCUGGUUGAAUGUGGAGUUGUUCCGUCUGACCAGAAACCUGUACAGUUUGACCAACAGCCUCAGGGUGUUGGUGUCCCUCUGUUGCCCAGGCUGGAGUGCAGUGGCAAGACUGGCUCACUGCAACCUCCACCUCCUGGGAUCAAGCGAUCCUCCCAUCUCAUCCUCCAGGAGCUGGGACUAAAGAAAGGGUACACUUGCCAUCAGUUUUGCCACAAGAAUACAUUGAACAAAGGAGACAGGGUCAUUUAUAACUUGAUGCGUCCACCCUACUGCUGUGUCUGGUUUCCAUUGGCUGGAACGGGACCUCACAUUCUGUAUUUGUCCUGAUUGACUAGCAACUUAGAACUUUUCAAAAGAGGCAAAGGCAGAGGAGAACAAAGGAAGGAGGAAGUAACUUGUGGAAUGCCAAGGACACUUGGUCAGCCAGAAAGCUUGUGCUGCUGAGUGAAGAAGGCAGAUUUGGUGCAUUGGAAGACAGCAACUGCAGAUGCAGAGGAACUGGAAGGGAAUCACAGCUGGUCAUGCCAAAGGGGCAGCCCAACCUAUGUUCAUUCAGCAACCAUGGCAGUUUCUCUACAUCUGUUUUCAAUUCGAGCUCCAGGUCAUGUUUUUCAGUUAGAAUAAAAUGUGAAAACU